GACGAACCGUGCGAACGUUAUUCGGAAUCACUGGGCUUAAAGCGCGUGUAGGCGGGACGGCACGUCGGUCGCUGAAAUCCCCCGGCUCAACCGGGGAACGGGCGCCGAUACGACCGCCCUGGAGGGGCGUAGGGGGACCUGGAACUUCCGGUGGAGCGGUGAAAUGCGUUGAGAUCGGAAGGAACGCCCGUGGCGAAAGCGAGGUCCUGGACGUUUUCUGACGCUGAGACGCGAAAGCCAGGGGAGCGAACGGG
rnacentral:rRNA from 1 species